rnacentral:lncRNA from 1 species
UGCUGCCCCCGAGUCUGAGGUGAGCUGCAGCCCUGGCUCCCCUGGCUCUCUCUGCUGCCCCCGAGUCUGAGGUGAGCUGCAGCCCUGGCUCCCCUGGCUCUGCUGCCCCGAGCUGGCUAAGCAGUCCGUCUGUUUGCAGAUGGGCUGUGUGCCUGGAGCGAGGAGGAGUGCAGGAACUUUGAACAUGGCUUCCGUGUUCACGGGAAGAACUUCCAUCUGAUUCAGGCCAACAAGGUCCGCACGCGGUCAGUGGGCGAGUGUGUGGAGUAUUAUUACCUGUGGAAGAAGUCUGAGCGCUAUGACUACUUUGCCCAGCAGACGAGGCUGGGUCGGAGGAAGUUCGUCUCCUCCGGAACCACGUGCGUGCUCAUUCUAGCCAUCUGGCCAGGGUGGCGUGGUGUGGUGUGGGGUAGCCCCUCCUGGUGGGGUCCUUCUUCCCUCUUUACAGCUCUCUUUCCACAGGGAUACUGAACAGGACCUGGAUGGUCUUGACCCUGAUGGCCAUGCCCGGCUGCAGUCUGAGACAAGGGUGCCCGUGGAGCCUCUGAGUGCGGACAUCGAAGCUGGUGGGCUUGAUCAGCCCGGAGUGGACUCGGAUGACCUCCCGUCCUCAGAGCCAGGACCGAGUCCCUUCCAGCAGCUGGAUGAACCCCCUGCCGUGCCCUCGCUCCAGCAGCCCACUAGCCUGGCCACCUCGGCUGAACUCCCACUGACUGAACUCCCACCGGCGGCUGCUGCUCCAGAGCCGGCCACCAGCCCCAGGCUGGCUGUGGACCUUGCCCUCCCUGAGGAGCUGCCCCUUGUGUCCAGCCCUGUGGCUCUGAAUGGCGACCCUGCAGAGCCCAUGGCUCCAGCACAGGUGGCCUUGUCGGUCACUGAAUUUGGACUCAUUGGCAUUGGGGAUGUGAAUCCCUUCCUAACUGGCCACCCAGCGUGCCCAGCCUCCACACUGCACGCAGAGCCCCUGUCACA